rnacentral:rRNA from 1 species
UUGAACGCUGGCGGCAGGCCUAACACAUGCAAGUCGCACGGUAACAGGAAGAAGCUUGCUUCUUUGCUGACGAGUGGCGGACGGGUGAGUAAUGUCUGGGAAACUGCCUGAUGGAGGGGGAUAACUACUGGAAACGGUAGCUAAUACCGCAUAACGUCGCAAGACCAAAGAGGGGGACCUUCGGGCCUCUUGCCAUCGGAUGUGCCCAGAUGGGAUUAGCUAGUAGGUGGGGUAACGGCUCACCUAGGCGACGAUCCCUAGCUGGUCUGAGAGGAUGACCAGCCACACUGGAACUGAGACACGGUCCAGACUCCUACGGGAGGCAGCAGUGGGGAAUAUUGCACAAUGGGCGCAAGCCUGAUGCAGCCAUGCCGCGUGUAUGAAGAAGGCCUUCGGGUUGUAAAGUACUUUCGGCGGGGAGGAAGGGAGUAAAGUUAAUACCUUUGCUCAUUGACGUUACCCGCAGAAGAAGCACCGGCUAACUCCGUG